ACACAAUAAAGAUGUCAGGGGGCAGGCAGUGUGGCAUAGCCGUGGGGCGGCGUCAUCCCUGCGCCUGCCCCUCAAGACUUUUCAAGUGGUACAAACAGCUUCAUUAGCAGCACUUGCCAGUGUUCCCUUGUUGAUCAUCAGCGUGUGUUUCAGAAAUUGAAGUUGGUGGAAAGUAUUCAUGGAGAAAGUCCUAGUCCUGGUCUUCACGGAGCACAGACUCUUUGAAUCGAAGUGUCUAAAAUAGCCAUGUGCGGCUAUUGAGCACUUGAAAUGAUCCUGUUGGAGCAGGAAAUAACCAGGAUGGAAGUAACCUAAGGGAAAGAAGUAGGAGCUCAGAGAGAGCAAGAUGUGACCUUGAGGAAUGG